rnacentral:tRNA from 1 species
UAGAAAUUAGUGUAGUGGUAGCACGAGGAAUUUUGAGUUCUUCAGGUUAGGUUCAAUUCCUAUUUUUCUAG